UACGGGGGGGGCAAGCGUUGUUCGGAAUUACUGGGCGUAAAGGGCUCGUAGGCGGCCAACUAAGUCAGACGUGAAAUCCCUCGGCUUAACCGGGGAACUGCGUCUGAUACUGGAUGGCUAGAGUUUGGGAGAGGGAUGCGGAAUUCCAGGUGUAGCGGUGAAAUGCGUAGAUAUCUGGAGGAACACCGGUGGCGAAGGCGGCAUCCUGGACCAACACUGACGCUGAGGGAGCGAAAGCCAGGGGAGCAAACGGG
rnacentral:rRNA from 1 species